CCUACGGGAGGCAGCAGUGAGGCAUAUUGGUCAAUGGACGAGAGUCUGAACCAGCCAAGUAGCGUGAAGGAUGACUGCCCUAUGGGUUGUAAACUUCUUUUAUAUGGGACUAAAAUGUUCCACGUGUGGGAUUUUGUAUGUACCAUAUGAAUAAGAAUCGGCUAACUCCGUGCCAGCAGCUGCGGUAAUACGGGUGAUCCGAGCGUUAUCCGGAUUUAUGGGGUUUCAAGGUAGAGUAGGUGGAUUGUUAAGUCAGUUGUGAAAGUUUGCUGCUCAACCGUAAAAUUGCAGUUGAUACUGGCAGUCGUGAGUACAGGAGAGGUGGGCAGAAUUCGUAGUGUAGCGGUGAAAUG
rnacentral:rRNA from 1 species